AGCUCAUCCAGGUGAGAAAGACAAAAACACACACUUGGUUUCCAGUGUCCUUCAUUAAACCUCACCUUCCUAAGCGCUCAACCCUACAACUAACCAGAGCCUGCCCAGAGGGAGCCCCUAAAAGACAAUAUAAACCAGUCCCAGGACAUCCCCCCAAAAGACCUAGGUGGGGAGCACAUUCCUAGAAGAGUCUGCAACCAUACAGCCAGGCCUCACAGGAACCGGUGGGAACCACUGCAAAGAGCACUGUUCAGCCUGGUCUCAGGGGCUUCCUCUCCCACCACACAAACUGCUGGGCCUGGCCCAGAGGUCGCAUGGGAGGACAGGCAGGUGGCAAGAUGGAGAAAGAGAAGUCGGUGGCCCUGAGGAAGCCACCUACCUUGAACAGCACACUUCUGCGCUCAGCUAGACUUCUGAAUCUGGGCCUCCUCAAAAGGAGAGGGGCUGCCCUGGCAUGGUAGAAGCCAAGCAAAUAGGGUGGCAUGGAGGAAGCUGCAGCCGUUCUGGGAAAGCCUUGGAGGUCAGUCUUCCUGCAGAUAUGACAAAGCAGAAUCACUGACUUGUGAAGUGAAAGUUUUGGUUUUAGAAGCUCUGGGCAACCAAGAAAGUAUCCUUUUAGAGCUGGGGGAUGGAGGUAGAGGGGUAGGGAGGUGUUCCUGAGACUACCCAGAGAAUGCCAUUUUUUCCUACCCCCCCCCCACUUUACAAACCACAGGGAAGAGAGAAACACAGGGCUCCAGGUCCCUGCAUGUCUGCCAAGAAACACUCCAGGAAUCAGAGAAUCCAAGACUGAAUUCCCAGAUCUGCGUGCAGCCUUACAGAGAUUUCCUGGGAUGAUGUCAACUCUCAUGACAGCUCAGAGUCCUCUCUGAACGAGAACCAACCCAGUCACAAACUUAGGCUGAGAAGCCCCCGCACGUUGAUCUGAGAACCAGGGACCCUCCUCCUUGGUUCCCAGUUACAUCACCUGUUCCGGGGAAUGCCUGCAGCAGCAGCCCCCAGCUGUCUGCAUCCCUGGAUACUUCCCACCUGCCCCUCCCCUACAGGCCUAGCCAGGUUCCAGUGCCUUUGCCAGGCCUGAGAGACAUCUAUAGAAGUCCCCAGUUGCUGCUGUCACUCUGGGAGAGACGUCUGGCUGGGUGCAGCGAGAAGAACAAAACAGGUGUGGCUGCCAGGGAGGGCUGGCCAGCAGGCCAAGGGACAGAGACACCCUUUCUUCAGCAGCAAGAGCUGUCAGCUUCAGCACAGCCCCAGGCUCACUCCAGAACCAGCCCUGGACAAACUCCCUUGUUGGCUGUUGGCUAGAACUCAGCUUCUCUACAUCAUUGCGUGAGCCAGGAAGGAUCCCCAGAGACCCAGUGUGUGCAAUGGAGCCUGCUUUAAAGUAAAAACAAAUACUGGUAACCCGCGCCCAGGUCUCCCAGCAGUACUUCUAAGACGCCUUCCUUCAUUCCUCCAAGCAAGGGAAGCUGAUGUAUGCAUGGUGCACUUUACCAGGCUGGCGAUUGAGUGCUGGCUAAGUGGUCACCACUGCCCCCACCAAAGGAGCCUCUGACAGGACAGGCUAGAGUGUCUGUGCUGCAGGGCGGCCUGUGGGCUCCAGCUGCCGCGUACUUUGCUUAGCUUCUGUUUCCCUUCCUCUUGACAGCACUUCCUCUGCAAACCCCUGACGCCCAAAGCCCUCUUAGAUCUGUUUCUACACAGUGGUCCUUGGGUUUUCUUCCCUCCAUCAUGUACACAUCAUCCUACUCUGUCUGCUUGCUGACGUCUCUAGCUCAGAGCAACAUGGGCCAGAUCAGAAUUCCUCCAAGGCACAGCUAAGAUCUCGGUAACCCUGAUGUCUGCGCAGUAUAUGCACUCGGUGGGUGCUUGUGAAUACUUUUGGCAAGAACUUAAAUAAAACCAUAUGUAGGAAGAUGGCAAGUAAUCAAUAAAUGGAUCAUAAUUUCAUUGCUACUU